GCCCAGAUGAGGUGCAGCUUUCCAACCUGUAGCUGUAUAAAAGCGGAGUGGUUCGAUUCCACCUUCUCGGCG